rnacentral:rRNA from 1 species
CACGUAGGGGACGAGCGUUGUCCGGAUUCAUUGGGCGUAAAGCGCGCGUAGGCGGCUCGGAAAGUCGGUCGUGAAAUGCCGGGGCUCAACCCCGGGACUGCGUCCGAUACUCCCGAGCUGGAGGCAGGUAGGGGAGAUCGGAAUUCCUGGUGUAGCGGUGAAAUGCGCAGAUAUCAGGAGGAACACCGAUGGCGAAGGCAGGUCUCUGGGCAUUAACUGACGCUGAGGAGCGAAAGCAUGGGGAGCGAACAGG